rnacentral:rRNA from 1 species
GAUGAACGCUGGCGGCGUGCCUAAUACAUGCAAGUCGAGCGAACGGACGAGAAGCUUGCUUCUCUGAUGUUAGCGGCGGACGGGUGAGUAACACGUGGAUAACCUACCUAUAAGACUGGGAUAACUUCGGGAAACCGGAGCUAAUACCGGAUAAUAUUUUGAACCGCAUGGUUCAAAAGUGAAAGACGGUUUUGCUGUCACUUAUAGAUGGAUCCGCGCUGCAUUAGCUAGUUGGUAAGGUAACGGCUUACCAAGGCAACGAUGCAUAGCCGACCUGAGAGGGUGAUCGGCCACACUGGAACUGAGACACGGUCCAGACUCCUACGGGAGGCAGCAGUAGGGAAUCUUCCGCAAUGGGCGAAAGCCUGACGGAGCAACGCCGCGUGAGUGAUGAAGGUCUUCGGAUCGUAAAACUCUGUUAUUAGGGAAGAACAUAUGUGUAAGUAACUAUGCACAUCUUGACGGUACCUAAUCAGAAAGCCACGGCUAACUACGUG